GAUGAACGCUGGCGGCGUGCCUAAUACAUGCAAGUCGAGCGAACAGACGAGGAGCUUGCUCCUCUGAUGUUAGCGGCGGACGGGUGAGUAACACGUGGAUAACCUACCUAUAAGACUGGGAUAACUUCGGGAAACCGGAGCUAAUACCGGAUAACAUGUUGAACCGCAUGGUUCAACAGUGAAAGACGGUUUUGCUGUCACUUAUAGAUGGAUCCGCGCCGCAUUAGCUAGUUGGUAAGGUAACGGCUUACCAAGGCAACGAUGCGUAGCCGACCUGAGAGGGUGAUCGGCCACACUGGAACUGAGACACGGUCCAGACUCCUACGGGAGGAAGCAGUAGGGAAUCUUCCGCAAUGGGCGAAAGCCUGACGGAGCAACGCCGAGUGAGUGAAGAAGGUCUUCGGAUCGUAAAACUCUGUUAUUAGGGAAGAACAAAUGUGUAAGUAACUAUGCACGUCUUGACGGUACCUAAUCAGAAAGCCACGGCUAACUACGUG
rnacentral:rRNA from 1 species